rnacentral:rRNA from 1 species
AGUGAACGCUGGCGGUAGGCCUAACACAUGCAAGUCGAACGGCAGCACAGUAAGAGCUUGCUCUUACGGGUGGCGAGUGGCGGACGGGUGAGGAAUACAUCGGAAUCUACUUUUUCGUGGGGGAUAACGUAGGGAAACUUACGCUAAUACCGCAUACGACCUACGGGUGAAAGCAGGGGAUCUUCGGACCUUGCGCGAUUGAAUGAGCCGAUGUCGGCUUAGCUAGUUGGCGGGGUAAAGGCCCACCAAGGCGACGAUCCGUAGCUGGUCUGAGAGGAUGAUCAGACACAUGGGAAGUGAGAAAGGUGCCCGACUCCGGGCGGGAGCAGCAGUGGGGAAUAUUGGGCGAGGGGGGAAAGGCUGAUCCAGGCAUACCGGGGGAGGGAAGAAGGACCUAGGGUUGGUAAGCCCUUUUGGUGGGAAAGAAAAGCAGCAGGUUAAUACCCCGCUGUUCUGACGGUACCCAAAGAAUAAGCACCGGCUAACUUCGUG